rnacentral:tRNA from 1 species
UCUGCGGAUGGAGCAGCUGGCCGGGGCGCCGGGCUCCGGACCCGGGUGGGGGCUGGCUCUGCUGCCGAUUCUGCUGGU